GGGCGUAUGGUCUAGUGGUAUGAUUUCUGUUUUGCAAUGCCCUGGAGCUCUUGCACAUACAGACGGUCCCGCGUUCGAUCCGCGGUACGUCCA